rnacentral:rRNA from 1 species
AACCUGGUUAGGUGGUCUGCCUUACGGUACGUACUGCUCGGCCGGGUUCUACCUCUUGGUGAGCCGGCAUGUCCUUCACUGGGUGUGUCGGGGAACCAGGACUUUUACCUUGAGAAAAUUAGAGUGCUCAAAGCAGGCAUGUGCCGGAAUAAUUGCGCUGGGAAUAAUGGAAUAGGACCU